rnacentral:lncRNA from 1 species
AUGGUAUUGUCAACUUGCCAAUACACUCCCGUAAUUGGGCCAGCAGGAAGCCUGCAGAGGAGGCUCCUCUGCGCUUGCCUGGAGGCACAGGGGAUCUGUGAGAGGCAGGGCUGCAUCCAAGCAUGCUGCAGGUUCCAUCCAUCCGAUAACACAAGGGGCAGUGACUGUACAAGCUGGGAGCCGCUCACUUCAAUGUGAUGGACACAGACACAGGCAAGAAAAAGAAAAGCCUUGGUGUUGGUGCUAGAAGCCUCCAGCACCCUGGGAGCCUCCUGGAGCAGAAGCUCUCUGCUCGCCACAUUGCAGCUGCAGGGACUUGUGCAGUAAGGACCCCAAACUUGUAGGUGGGAGAAUUAGAGCACCAAAUACCACAUGGGAUUACUGGUUAAUGCAGG